rnacentral:rRNA from 1 species
GACGAACGCUGGCGGCGUGCUUAACACAUGCAAGUCGAACGGUGAUGCUCCAGCUUGCUGGAGUGGAUCAGUGGCGAACGGGUGAGUAACACGUGAGCAACCUGCCCCAGACUCUGGAAUAAGCGCUGGAAACGGCGUCUAAUACUGGAUACGAAACUGGCCCGCAUGGGCAUGGUUUGGAAAGUUUUUCGGUUUGGGAUGGGCUCGCGGCCUAUCAGCUUGUUGGUGAGGCAAUGGCUCACCAAGGCGACGACGGGUAGCCGGCCUGAGAGGGCGACCGGCCACACUGGGACUGAGACACGGCCCAGACUCCUACGGGAGGCAGCAGUGGGGAAUAUUGCACAAUGGGCGAAAGCCUGAUGCAGCGACGCCGCGUGAGGGAUGACGGCCUUCGGGUUGUAAACCUCUUUCAGCAGGGAAGAAGCGAAAGUGACGGUACCUGCAGAAGAAGCACCGGCUAACUACGUG